AGUGCGCACGGGUGAGUAACGCGUAAGUAAUCUACCCCUGUAUUCGGAAUAACCCACCGAAAGGUGAGCUAAUACGGGAUACGUUUAUCUUGAUGCGAAUGAUGAUAAAGAAAGGUGGCCUCUUCAUGAAAGCUACUGUACAGGGACGAGCUUGCGUACCAUUAGCUAGUUGGUAGGGUAAUGGCCUACCAAGGCGACGAUGGUUAGCGGGUCUGAGAGGAUGAUCCGCCACACUGGAACUGGAACACGGACCAGACUCCUACGGGAGGCAGCAGUGAGGAAUAUUGCGCAAUGGGGGCAACCCUGACGCAGCGACGCCGCGUGGAUGAUGAAGGCCCUUGGGUCGUAAAAUCCUGUCAGAUGGAAAGAAAUGUAUAGCAGCUAAUAUCUGUUAUAUUUGACGGUACCAUCAAAGGAAGCACCGGCUAACUCCGUGCCAGCAGCCGCGGUAAUACGGAGGGUGCAAGCGUUGUUCGGAAUUACUGGGCGUAAAGCGCGCGUAGGCGGUUUGCUAAGUCAGAUGUGAAAGCCCUCGGCUUAACCGGGGACGUGCAUUUGAAACUGGCAGACUUGAGUACUGGAGGGGGGGGGUGGAAUUCCCGGUGUAGAGGUGAAAUUCGUAGAUAUCGGGAGGAAUACCGGUGGCGAAGGCGACCACCUGGCCAGAUACUGACGCUGAGGUGCGAAAGCGUGGGGAGCAAACAGGAUUAGAUACCCUGGUAGUCCACGCCGUAAACGAUGUCAACUAGGUGUUGGGAUGGUUAAUCGUCUCAUUGCCGCAGCUAACGCAUUAA
rnacentral:rRNA from 1 species